rnacentral:rRNA from 1 species
GUCCUAGCCGUAAACGUUGGGUGCUAGGUGUGGGCGGACAUCGACCCCGUCCGUGCCGAAGCUAACGCAUUAAGCACCCCGCCUGGGGAGUACGGCCGCAAGGCUAAAACUCAAAGGAAUUGACGGGGGCCCGCACAAGCGGCGGAGCAUGCGGCUUAAUUCGAUGCGACGCGAAGAACCUUACCUGGGCUUGACAUGCAGGGCAAAGCCGGUGAAAGCCGGCGCUCUACGGAGCCUGCACAGGUGGUGCAUGGCUGUCGU